AUACGUAGGUGGCGAGCGUUGUCCGGAAUUACUGGGUGUAAAGGGCGUGUAGGCGGGGAUGUAAGUCAGAUGUGAAAUUCCGUGGCUCAACCACGGGCGUGCAUCUGAAACUAUGUUUCUUGAGUGCUGGAGAGGAAAGCGGAAUUCCUAGUGUAGCGGUGAAAUGCGUAGAUAUUAGGAGGAACACCAGUGGCGAAGGCGGCUUUCUGGACAGUAACUGACGCUGAGGCGCGAAAGCGUGGGGAGCAAACAGGAUUAGAUACCCUGGUAGUCCACGCCGUAAACGAUGGAUACUAGGUGUAGGAGGUAUCGACCCCUUCGGUGCCGGAGUUAACACAAUAAGUAUCCCACCUGGGGAGUACGGCCGCAAGGUUGAG
rnacentral:rRNA from 1 species